rnacentral:lncRNA from 1 species
ACGCCUCCCUCUUCCCCCCUGAGAAACUGAGAUAAACAGGAAGGAGAGGCCUGAGUGUCUCCCACAGGUAAAGUGCCUGUGUCUGGGGACACAGUGGGAGAGGGACAGAAGUGCUCCUUCUCCAGGAACAUGGAACUGGGCCUGGGGAGAAGGGAGGCCAUUUCCUCCAUGCCAGCCCUCAGCACCAGCACCUAGAGCAGAACCAGGAAGGAUCCUGGGAGCAAAGGACAGACAGAUGAGCUCCCCAGAAGAAGGGCUACCCACUAAGUGGAGCCGACGGUGGGCAAUGGCGGGAUG